GAUGUUGGCAGUGGUGUUGAUGGUAGUGGCAGCAACACAUGGCAGAGGGGACAGUGUUCAGGAGCAGCAGCAAUCAUGCAUGCACACUACAGCAGUGCCCAGCAGAUGCAAUGCCCGUUUCCAAUUAAUGCAGUGGAGUGAAGGAGUCCUACAGAAUCUACAGCGAUGUCUGGCAAAGCCAGCAAUGCCCAGAUCCAGUGGUAUAAGAAGUAAGGAAAUAGGAACAACGGAAUAAAAUGGUGGUAACUGACUGGACAGCUAAAAUGGAAGCUGAAAGCUAAGACAAUCCCAGAAACCCUCAGUAGACUGCCAAUGUCUCAUUGACCAGAAUUUUGUUAAAUGGCCACCCUUGCUAAAGAGAAGGUUGAGAAAGCAAGUUUCCAACUUUUCUGUUCUUAAUCUAGACGCGAGCAAGGAAGAGAAAUAACAGAAUGAAUCUUGACUCGUUAAAGUAACUGCCAUUUUCCACUUGUCAACGCUGGAUCUCAUCACAUCUGGUAGAUGGAGUGAAUUCUACCACAUUUUUUCUUCCUUUGUUUUGAAAAGAGAUUUAUUCUGAUAAAAUUCAUGCUCAUUAUAAAUAUUGAAAUAUACAAAGAAUAAAGUAAAAUACAACUGUUGGGGUGAACAUCCUUCCAGACAGCUCUCUUUGUGCACCUAUUAAAACAUUAUACAAAUGGGA